UUUUGUAAGGCUGAUUAAGCCAUACUUAAAAGUCAGAUCCUUACCACUGAUGCACUGAACUAUGCCUACCUGGGAAAAUCUUUCCUGCCAUGGAAUCAGUCCCCACAGAGCUUGAAUAAAACACACCAAUUUCUGAGCUGGUUUAGUGCUUGCAUAUGCUCCUAACGACUUGUCUGCUACACUGAUUUGUAGGGAUUUAACCUAUCCAUGAAAAUUAGGUGCUAGUGUCUGUUGCCUUCAGCUGAGAAAGCAUGAGAAGAAGUCCUAUGCUUCUGAAACAAAGCCUUUGGUUUUUAAUAAGAUGAAGUUUUAUAAAAGAAAAACAUAAAAUGAAUAAAAUACAGCUAUAGAAUAUAUCCAAUAUAAAUUUCUUGUUCUGCUGCUGCCAAGGUAAUUCUUUUUCAGGGAGUGUCUUGAAUAUUCCCUUCUAGGAUUGGAUCCCUUACUUUGCUUUUUCUUUCUAGUUUACACCCACGUGUCUGGUUGCCUCUGGCUGCAGAGGAAAGUUCAAAGCACUUAUGAAGCAGCUAUUUAUUUCUCUGUAAAUUUAGGGGUCUUUGUUUUGUAGCAUCGUUGGUAGCUACCUGGCAUAGGGAAGAAUCAGGCUAUCUGAUGGCAGUUUUUUUGAUGGGUACAACAGGCCGUGGCUUGCUAAUUCACUGGCCUCCUUGCCAGUAGGCUGUGGAAUGAGCUACGCUCAGAAGUGAGCAUGGUCUCAUUCUGCAGGCUGUAUACUAAAUACAAUUUGUUCUUUCAUUUGGGUUUUGGACAUUCUUCGGAGACCAUCUGUAGCAAAAUACACUCUGCUAAUUUUGGGGUUGUUGUGGUGAUAUUUCUUUUUGUAUAAUACCCUUCCACUUUUUAAUGGAAGAAGUUUUGAAACAGUCUGGAUAUUUCAGUGAAUCCAAUGGAAGAUCCCAAAGGAGGGCAAUGGAUUCCUUGGAUCUGAAUAGGCUACCGUCAGCAUUUCCAGGAAGGUGUUAGAACCAGAAAACCAGAUGCUUUCACAAGUGUGGAGGGGAGGAAGGAAGGAGAAGGGGCUUCAAAAUUGUCACAUUUAUGUAUCUUCCUCUGAAUCCACUCAAGACUACUGGCCGUUCCAAGCACAAGUAGUAUCCUCUCACUCCAUUUACACCCCGAGCCCCAGUACUUUAUCAUCUUUGAGGUAAGGAUGGCAUGUUUCCAAAGUAAUUCCUGCUCAUUUGACAUAUGUGAUUUCUGUUUGUUAAAUUGUUUGUUUGUUUCCUAUUUGAUCUUCCUCUUAACCUCAUGUCAAAAUUUAGACGUUUUCUGAAUCACAUCCUAACAAAAAUCUUGAGUACGAAUGUUUCAAGGUGGCAUCCCUCUGGAACUGUGAUGUUGCUUUUAAUCAUCCCUCUUCUUACAAACAUACAUAUGACAUGGAGAUAAGAGAGUUCCCCACUGCCAGCCUUGUUUGGGUAUUCAAGCUUGAAUCGUGACC